UACGGAAGGUCCAAGCGUUAAUCGGAAUUACUGGGCGUAAAGAGUACGUAGGCGGUUUGUUAAGCGAGAUGUGAAAGCCCUGGGCUCAACCUGGGAACUGCAUUUCGAACUGGCAAGCUAGAGUGUGAUAGAGGGUGGUAGAAUUUCAGGUGUAGCGGUGAAAUGCGUAGAGAUCCGAAGGAAUACCGAUGGCGAAGGCAGCCACCUGGGUCAACACUGACGCUCAUGUACGAAAGCGUGGGGAGCAAACAGG
rnacentral:rRNA from 1 species